rnacentral:rRNA from 1 species
UACGUAGGGAGCAAGCGUUGUCCGGAAUCAUUGGGCGUAAAGCGCGCGUAGGCGGCCCUGUAAGUCCGUUGUGAAAGUCAAAGGCUCAACCUUUGAAAGCCGAUGGAUACUGCAGGGCUAGAGUCCGGGAAGAGGCGAGUGGAAUUCCUGGUGUAGCGGUGGAAUGCGCAGAUAUCAGGAGGAACACCAAUAGCGAAGGCAGCUCGCUGGGACGGUACUGACGCUAAGGCGCGAAAGCGUGGGGAGCGAACAGG